AGCCCCUAGCGCAGACGGCGGAGAGCAGAGAGGGAGCGCGCCUUGGCUCGCUGGCCUUGGCGGCGGCUCCUCAGGAGAGCUGGGGCGCCCACGAGAGGAUCCCUCACCCGGGUCUCUCCUCAGGGAUGACAUCAUCCGUCCACCUCCUUGUCUUCAAGGACCACCUCCUCUCCAUGCUGAGCUGCUGCCAAGGGGCCUGCUGCCCAUCUACACCUCACGAGGGCACUAGGAGCACGGUUUCCUGGAUCCCACCAACAUACAAAGCAGCCACUCACUGACCCCCAGGACCAGGAUGGCAAAGGAUGAAGAGGACCGGAACUGACCAGCCAGCUGUCCCUCUUACCUAAAGACUUAAACCAAUGCCCUAGUGAGGGGGCAUUGGGCAUUAAGCCCUGACCUUUGCUAUGCUCAUACUUUGACUCUAUGAGUACUUUCCUAUAAGUCUUUGCUUGUGUUCACCUGCUAGCAAACUGGAGUGUUUCCCUCCCCAAGGGGGUGUCAGUCUUUGUCGACUGACUCUGUCAUCACCCUUAUGAUGUCCUGAAUGGAAGGAUCCCUUUGGGAAAUUCUCAGGAGGGGGACCUGGGCCAAGGGCUUGGCCAGCAUCCUGCUGGCAACUCCAAGGCCCUGGGUGGGCUUCUGGAAUGAGCAUGCUACUGAAUCACCAAAGGCACGCCCGACCUCUCUGAAGAUCUUCCUAUCCUUUUCUGGGGGAAUGGGGUCGAUGAGAGCAACCUCCUAGGGUUGUUGUGAGAAUUAAAUGAGAUAAAAGAGGCCUCAGGCAGGAUCUGGCAUAGAGGAGGUGAUCAGCAAAUGUUUGUUGAAAAGGUUUGACAGGUCAGUCCCUUCCCACCCCUCUUGCUUGUCUUACUUGUCUUAUUUAUUCUCCAACAGCACUCCAGGCAGCCCUUGUCCACGGGCUCUCCUUGCAUCAGGUAGGGGCUUUGCAGAGACCAUCGACGGGCUGACUUGAGGCUAAUCUCGGGCCUUGUCGAAGGAAGAGGCUGCAGACGUUAAUGAGGUUAGCUGCUGGAUUCCAGUAUUCGUCGCAUAAGGAUCCUUCUUUGUCUGCGAAGGAAAAACACACUGAUUAUCAUAAUGAGGCACGUGGGCCGUGGCCCGGCUGGGUCGGCUGAAGAACUGCGGAUGGAAGCUGCGGAAGAGGCCCUGAUGGGGCCCACCAUCCCGGACCCAAGUCUUCUUCCUGGCGGGCCUCUCGUCUCCUUCCUGGUUUGGGCGGAAGCCAUCACCUGGAUGCCUACGUGGGAAGGGACCUCGAAUGUGGGACCCCAGCCCCUCUCCAGCUCGAAAUCCCUCCACAGCCACGGGGACACCCUGCACCUAUUCCCACGGGACAGGCUGGACCCAGAGACUCUGGACCCGGGGCCUCCCCUUGAGUAGAGACCCGCCCUCUGACUGAUGGACGCCGCUGACCUGGGGUCAGACCCGUGGGCUGGACCCCUGCCCACCCCGCAGGAACCCUGAGGCCUAGGGGAGCUGUUGAGCCUUCAGUGUCUGCAUGUGGGAAGUGGGCUCCUUCACCUACCUCACAGGGCUGUUGUGAGGGGCGCUGUGAUGCGGUUCCAAAGCACAGGGCUUGGCGCACCCCACUGUGCUCUCAAUAAAUGUGUUUCCUGUCUUAACAA
rnacentral:lncRNA from 1 species